rnacentral:rRNA from 1 species
UACGUAGGGCGCAAGCGUUGUCCGGAAUUAUUGGGCGUAAGGAGCUCGUAGGCGGCUUGUCACGUCGGGUGUGAAAGCCCGGGGCUUAACCCCGGGUCUGCAUUCGAUACGGGCUAGCUAGAGUGUGGUAGGGGAGAUCGGAAUUCCUGGUGUAGCGGUGAAAUGCGCAGAUAUCAGGAGGAACACCGGUGGCGAAGGCGGAUCUCUGGGCCAUUACUGACGCUGAGGAGCGAAAGCGUGGGGAGCGAACAGG